rnacentral:rRNA from 1 species
GGCUCAGAACGAACGUUAGCGGCGCGCCUAACACAUGCAAGUCGAGCGAGAAAGGGCUUCGGCCCCGGUACAGCGGCGCACGGGUGAGUAACACGUAGGUAAUCUACCCCCGAAUGGUGGAUAACCCUCCGAAAGGAGGGCUAAUACAGCAUAAGACCACGGCUUCUUCGGAGGCUGAGGCCAAAGCGGGCCUCUUUACAAAAGCUCGCGUUUGGGGAUGAGCCUGCGGCCCAUCAGCUAGUUGGCGGUGUAAUGGACCACCAAGGCUAAGACGGGUAGCUGGUCUGAGAGGAUGAACAGCCACACUGGAACUGAGACACGGUCCAGACUCCUACGGGAGGCAGCAGUGGGGAAUCUUGCGCAAUGGGCGAAAGCCUGACGCAGCGACGCCGCGUGAGUGAUGAAGGCCUUCGGGUUGUAAAGCUCUGUGGGGAGAGACGAAUAAGGUCCACCUAACACGUGGACCGAUGACGGUAUCUCCUUAGCAAGUACCGGCUAACUCUGUGCCAGCAGCCGCGGUAAGACAGAGGGUGCAAACGUUGUUCGGAAUUACUGGGCGUAAAGCGCGUGUAGGCGGCAGGGCGUGUCGGAUGUGAAAUCCCGUGGCUCAACCACGGAAGUGCACCCGAAACUGCCCAGCUUGAGUCUCGGAGAGGAAGGCGGAAUGCUUGGUGUAGAGGUGAAAUUCGUAGAUAUCAAGCGGAACACCGGUGGCGAAGGCGGCCUUCUGGACGAUGACUGACGCUGAGACGCGAAAGCGUGGGGAGCAAACAGGAUUAGAUACCCUGGUAGUCCACGCCGUAAACGAUGAGUGCUAGGUGUCACGGGCUUUGACCCCUGUGGUGCCGUAGCUAACGCAGUAAGUACUCCGCCUGGGGAGUACGGCCGCAAGGCUAA